rnacentral:tRNA from 1 species
UCCGUUGUAGUCCAGCCUGGUUAGGAUACCUGGCUUUCACCCAGGCGACCCGGGUUCAAAUCCCGGCAACGGAA